CUUAUUCUUUAUUUUUGGCUGACUGAGUUAUUUCAGAGAACCAGUCUUCAAGCUCUGAGAGUCUUUCUUUAGUUUGGUUGAUGCUGCUGUUAAUACUUGUGAUUGUCUUCUGAAAUUCUUGUGCCAUUGCAGUUUGAGGGAACUAGUUGCUGGUGAAAUAGCAUGGUCAUGUGGAGGAUUCAGAAUCUGUUGUGAUAGAGGGGCCAAAGUGUUCCUGAACUGCUGGUCACAACCCUUCACUGAGUGAUGCCUAUGAAAGCACUGCAUCAGGAGGUGGGAUGGAACAAGAAGUUUCCACCAAUCUUCCCCCU